UACGGGGGGGGUAAGCGUUGUUCGGAAUUACUGGGCGUAAAGGGCUCGUAGGCGGCCAACUAAGUCAUACGUGAAAUCCCUCAGCUUAACUGGGGAACUGCGUGUGAUACUGGAUGGCUUGGAUUUGGGAGAGGGAUGCGGAAUUCCAGGUGUAGCGGUGAAAUGCGUAGAUAUCUGGAGGAACACCGGUGGCGAAGGCGGCAUCCUGGACCAAUAUUGACGCUGAGGAGCGAAAGCCCAGGGGAGCAAACGGG
rnacentral:rRNA from 1 species